rnacentral:siRNA from 1 species
AUUAGACCAGGUGUUGUAUAUGGUA